UUUACAGACUUAUUCCCAGAAUGAGGAUUUUUAUUGGACAUUUAUUGAUACUGACAUGCCUAACAGGUGUCUGUUUGGCUCAACAACUCUUGCAGUCAGAUCCUGCCGUGGUGAAGCCUGGGAGCUCCUAUACACUGACAUGUAAAGGUUCUGGAUUCUCUGUUGGCGGCUACUGGAUGCAUUGGGUCAGACAGACCCCCGGAAAAGAACUACAAUGGUUGUGUCGCAUACACAGUACAAACACACACUACGCAGAUG